GGUUUCUUGAUUGUUCUUAUAUUUGAAAUUUGACCUGCCCACUGAAUUAAUUUGAAGGGCCGCGGUAUUUUGACUGUGCAAAGGUAGCAUAAUCAUUAGUCUUUUAAUUUAAGGCUAGAAUGAAUGGUUGAACGAGGUGAAGUCUGUAUUAAUUAAAAUUUUUAUUGAAUUUUGAUUUUAAGUAAAAAUACUUAAGUUUUUUUAAGGGACGAGAAGACCCUAUAGAGUUUAAUAGUUUUAUUUUAAUUUUUGUUUAAAUUAAAAGUUUAUUAGAUUAAUAUUAAAAAUUAUUUUAUUGGGGUGAUUAAGAGAUAAGUUUAACUCUUUUUUAAUUUUUAUAUUUUUAUUAGUUAAUUUGAUCCAUAUUAUUUAUGAUUAUAAGAUAAAAUUACCUUAGGGAUAACAGCAUAAUUUUUUUUAAGAGUUCUUAUCGAAAAAAAUGAUUGUGACCUCGAUGUUGGAUUAAGAUAAAGUUUAGGUGUAGAU
rnacentral:rRNA from 1 species